AGGGGUUUGGACAGCAGGGCCAGGCGCGGAGAUCCAGCAGAUAGCAGCAUGGUGGCCCUCGGGGAAUGGGAGCAUGUCCUGUCGGUGGGCUGGGGGAGGCACGGCUGGUCCGGGAGGCCCCUUCCUCUGGCAGGCACAGUCCCCUCCUACAUGUGGGUCCAAGGCGCUCCAUGGCAGCAUUCCUGCUUUGAUGACACGUUUCCCAGUUGGAAGGAAAUCAAUCCAAGAAAAUCUGCCUCUGACUCCCGUUCUCUUCUCAAAGCACAGCAGCCGCAGAACAAGCUGGAUCUUGGGCAGAUCCUGGAGCCCAUGAGCUGUCCAUGUGAAUACUUUCAAACAUAAAAAGGAGGCAUACUGGCCUCUGGCUUGUGUCUCAAGCCUUUGAAUUAGCAACUCACCCGCCAAGAACGUGUUCCGAAUGGCUGGUUUGCGUGGCAGGGGAUAGUUCUUUGCAGAUUCGGAAUCUAGAUUACUACCAGAAAAUGUAAAGCGUCUGGUGAUUUGGGAAGUAAACCCUUUCCAGACUUAAUUGAGAACCCAUGUGACUCCCUGAGCUACAAAGAGCCCAUGCUAGUUGUUGAGUGAGAGCGUGGCUAAUGUGGCACCACUGCCGUGUGUCGGGAUAGACCUUGAUGCCAGUCAUUGACUUGGAAGGAGCCAGAUGAGGAGCAGAUCAGGGAGGGGAGCUGAUAAGGGGUCAGUGAGCUGGACCCUGCUGUGGACUCAGCCUGGAAGCCCUCUGAGGAAUUGCUGGGGGUCUACUGACUGACUCCCAUCCUUCACCACCCCGGCUGUAGAUCCCUGGUACCUCUGGGCUGCCCCACCUAGACCCAAGUAAGCUCCCAUCACCAGAAAAAGCCCCCCAGGUAGAGAAGCACAGAGACGGAGCACUCUGGGAGCCCGGGGACUGUCCUCUGCCAAGUGGGUAGAGUGUAUGUAAGGGCAUUUGUGUGCCUAUGAUACCCCACUUCCCUCAGAAGCAGCAAGAGCCUGGAGGUGCAGCAGGCAACUGAGUUCUAGAUGAUUCCUUGCCUCAAACUCAAUCCAUUAAUUCAGUUGCAGAGUGCCAGCCAGGUGUUGGGCAGUGUCCUGAGGGCUGGAGCUGUUAGGGAGCAAAGAGAUGAGCCCCCACCCCUCUUAGAGUUUCCAUGCAUACGUGGACUGUGUGCAUAAUAUGUGCAUAAUCAAUGUGUGAACCACAUAGCCUGUGAUUGUCCAACCAUGAGAGCAGAAAAAAGAGAGAGGAAACCAGGGCGGGGGAGGGAGCAGGAUGUCAGAUGAGGACUGGGUGUCAGAUGGGGACUGGGGGCGCUCAGAAGGGGCCACUUGGGCCACCACGUGAAGCUUCGUCCGGGCAAAUCUGGGGCCAUUGGCCACGAGACCCACGGUCAGCCUGACCGCCCCUCACGCAGGGUCGUCCUGCUGCAUGUGGGGCCAGGAACGGCUGGCCACCCUGGACCUCACCCACUGGGCGAACCCAGCAUCUUCCCUGUUCCGAUGAAUCACGCACCCACCUCGGAGACUCAUCCGUCAUGUGUCCUCUGCUGGAAGCCUCAUCACAGCCGAGAGUCCAAGGAACACCCGGAUCAGUGACAGGGUGGGCAGGUGGCCAUUCAUAAGAUUAAUUAGAGAAAUUUUCCACCAAAUGGGAGUUCCUGAGUCUGAGCCUAUGGACUAGUUUCCUUGGGUUUCUGUAACAAAUUACCACGAACGUGGUGGCCUAAAACAACAGAAAUGGAUUCUCUCACAGUUCUGGAGGCCAGAAGUCUGAAAUCCGGUCGUUGUCAGGGCCGAGCUCUCCCCGAAGCUCGAGGGGAGACGGCUCCACGGCCCUCCCUGGCUCUGCCGUCGCGGGCGUCCUCGGCGUCUGUCGGUUUGCGCUGCAUCUGUCCAGUCCCUGCCCCUGCUUCGCGUCGGCUCCUCGGUGUGUGCUCUCCCUUCCCUUUCUUUGUAAAAACACCUGUCACUGGGCCCGGGCUUACCUCCGUCGGUGGAUGAUCUCAUCUCGAGAUCCUUAUCUGCAUCUGCAAUGACCCUUUCCUGGAUGAGGGUCACAUCACAGGGUACGGGUGACUUAUCUUUUGGGGCCACCCACCGUCUGCAGCUUGCAUGGGAGGCUGAGAAAGAAAAGGCCUUCCAAAAAUGAUUUUCUACUUUUCAAUAAUGACUCCGGAGCUAGUCUCAGGGUAGCUCAGGGGCAAAUGCAGAGGCCUGGAGGGGUCGCCCUGCAGGUGCGGGCAGGACGGGGCGGGCGAGUGGGGGAGGCGAGCUUUCCGCUGCUUACUCACCUCCAGCAUCUCGGCCCCCAUCGCUCCCAUCCCCAAACCCUCUGCCAGAGGGUUUAACUGCUUCUUUUUCUGGCAGUUGUCAAAUGACAGGUAAUACAGUGAGGUAAAGGAGCAAGUAAAGGAGCAAGACUUCAAGCCCAGCUACAGUUUGUGAGGUUUGUGGCCUCGGGUAAAUGGAUCUCUGAAGGCUUCUGCACCUCAUUUUGCCCAUCUGUGAAAUGGGGAAAAUUUCUGCUUUACCCACUUUACCUUUGGUCAGGGAUCCAACACAAUCAUAUGUUGAAGUGCUCCGGAAAUGAUCAGGUGACGUAAAAGUGUUAUCUCCUUAGACGCCAAAUGCUAUUCAGCUGUAAAAUGGAAAACAUCUCUGUAUCAUUGAAUUCUUUGAUGAUUACAUGGGAUAAUCCGUGUGAUCAAAGCUGACGUAUUAAAGGUGUUAAGCGAUACCAAUCGUAAUAAUAAUACUUCAAACUAAAAAAAAAAA
rnacentral:lncRNA from 1 species